rnacentral:rRNA from 1 species
AUUGAACGCUGGCGGCAUGCCUUACACAUGCAAGUCGAACGGCAGCACGGGAGCAAUCCUGGUGGCGAGUGGCGAACGGGUGAGUAAAGUAUCGGAACGUGCCCAGUCGUGGGGGAUAACGUAGCGAAAGUUACGCUAAUACCGCAUACGAUCCAUGGAUGAAAGCGGGGGAUCGCAAGACCUCGCGCGAUUGGAGCGGCCGAUAUCAGAUUAGGUAGUUGGUGGGGUAAAGGCUCACCAAGCCGACGAUCUGUAGCUGGUCUGAGAGGACGACCAGCCACACUGGGACUGAGACACGGCCCAGACUCCUACGGGAGGCAGCAGUGGGGAAUUUUGGACAAUGGGCGAAAGCCUGAUCCAGCCAUGCCGCGUGCAGGAUGAAGGCCUUCGGGUUGUAAACUGCUUUUGUACGGAACGAAAAGGACUGCCCUAAUACGGUGGUCCCAUGACGGUACCGUAAGAAUAAGCACCGGCUAACUACGUGCCAGCAGCCGCCGCCG